GAUGAAGAACGCAGCGAAAUGCGAUAAGUAAUGUGAAUUGCAGAAUUCAGUGAAUCAUCGAAUCUUUGAACGCACAUUGCGCCCAUCAGUAUUCUGGUGGGCAUGCCUGUUCGAGCGUCAUUUCAACCCCUAAGCACAGCUUACUGUUGGGACUCUACGGCCUCCGUAGUUCCCCAAAGCCAUUGGCGGAGUGGCAGUAGUCCUCUGAGCGUAGUAAUUCUUUAUCUCGCUUUUGUUAGGUGCUGCCCCCCCGGCCGUUAAACCCCCCAAUUUUUUUCUGGUUGACCUCGGAUCAGGUAGGAAUACCCGCUGAACUUAAGCAUAUCAAUAAGCGGAGGA
rnacentral:misc_RNA from 1 species